CUACGUAGGGUGCGAGCGUUGUCCGGAAUGAUUGGGCGUAAAGGGCGCGUAGGCGGCGCGGUAAGUCUGGAGUGAAAGUCCUGCUUUCAAGGUGGGAAUUGCUUUGGAUACUGCCGCGCUUGAGUGCAGGAGAGGUUAUCGGAAUUCCCGGUGUAGCGGUGAAAUGCGUAGAGAUCGGGAGGAACACCAGUGGCGAAGGCGGGUAACUGGACUGUAACUGACGCUGAGGCGCGAAAGUGUGGGGAGCAAACAGGAUUAGAUACCCUGGUAGUCCACACUGUAAACGAUGAAUGCUAGGUGUAGGGGGUAUCGACCCCUUCUGUGCCGCAGUCAACACAAUAAGCAUUCCGCCUGGGGAGUACGGCCGCAAGGUUGAAACUCAAAUGAAUUGACGGGG
rnacentral:rRNA from 1 species